GGUCGAGCGGGAGAAGAGCUUGCUCUUCGAUUCAGCGGCGGACGGGUGAGUAAUGCCUAGGAAUCUGCCUGGUAGUGGGGGACAACGUUUCGAAAGGAACGCUAAUACCGCAUACGUCCUACGGGAGAAAGCAGGGGACCUUCGGGCCUUGCGCUAUCAGAUGAGCCUAGGUCGGAUUAGCUAGUUGGUGAGGUAAUGGCUCACCAAGGCGACGAUCCGUAACUGGUCUGAGAGGAUGAUCAGUCACACUGGAACUGAGACACGGUCCAGACUCCUACGGGAGGCAGCAGUGGGGAAUAUUGGACAAUGGGCGAAAGCCUGAUCCAGCCAUGCCGCGUGUGUGAAGAAGGUCUUCGGAUUGUAAAGCACUUUAAGUUGGGAGGAAGGGCAGUAAGAUAAUACCUUGCUGUUUUGACGUUACCGACAGAAUAAGCACCGGCUAACUCUGUGCCAGCAGCCGCGGUAAUACAGAGGGUGCAAGCGUUAAUCGGAAUUACUGGGCGUAAAGCGCGCGUAGGUGGUUUGUUAAGUUGGAUGUGAAAGCCCCGGGCUCAACCUGGGAACUGCAUCCAAAACUGGCAAGCUAGAGUACGGUAGAGGGUGGUGGAAUUUCCUGUGUAGCGGUGAAAUGCGUAGAUAUAGGAAGGAACACCAGUGGCGAAGGCGACCACCUGGACUGAUACUGACACUGAGGUGCGAAAGCGUGGGGAGCAAACAGGAUUAGAUACCCUGGUAGUCCACGCCGUAAACGAUGUCAACUAGCCGUUGGAAUCCUUGAGAUUUAGUGGCGCAGCUAACGCAUUAAGUUGACGCCUGGGGAGUACGCGCAAGGUUAAAACUCAAAUGAAUUGACGGGGGCCCGCACAAGCGGUGGAGCAUGUGGUUUAAUUCGAACAACCGAAAACUUGGUUGACAUGCAGAAACUAGAUAUUGGUGCUUCGGAACUCUGACCGGCUGCAUGUGCGCAGCUCGAGGGAGUCCCCCGUUACUUGGGGGACUAGUAUA
rnacentral:rRNA from 1 species